rnacentral:rRNA from 1 species
AGAACGAACGCUGGCGGCAUGCCUAACACAUGCAAGUCGAACGCUUUUGGGGCUUCGGUCCCAAAGGAGUGGCGCACGGGUGAGUAGCGCGUGGGAACCUGCCCUGUUGUGGGGGAUAACCGAGGGAAACUUCGGCUAAUACCGCAUACGCCCGGGGGAAACUCCGGGGAAAGAUUUAUCGCAGCAGGAGGGGCCCGCGUCGGAUUAGGUAGUUGGUGGGGUAACGGCCCACCAAGCCUGUGAUCCGUAGCUGGUCUGAGAGGAUGAUCAGCCACACUGGGACUGAGACACGGCCCAGACUCCUACGGGAGGCAGCAGUGGGGAAUAUUGGACAAUGGGCGCAAGCCUGAUCCAGCAAUGCCGCGUGAGUGAUGAAGGCCUUCGGGUUGUAAAGCUCUUUCGCACGCGACGAUGAUGACGGUAGCGUGAGAAGACGCCCCGGCUAACUUCGUGCCAGCAGCCGC